rnacentral:ncRNA from 1 species
GUAGAGAUAUUUUAAAAAAAAAGUCCGCCGUCAAAUCCUAGGGCUCAACCUUGGAUAGGCGGUGAAAACUACCAAGCUCAACCUUGGAUAGGCGGCGAAAACUACCAAGCUGGAGUACGGUAAAGGUAGAGGGAAUUUCCGGUGGAGCGGUGAGAUGCAUUGAGAUCGGAAAAAACACCAACGGCGAAAGCAUUCUCGGCCAACACUGACACCGAGAGACGAAAGCUAGGGGAGCAAAUGGGAUUAGAGACCCAGUAGUCCUAGCCGUAAACCAUGGAUACUAAUUGUGUCGUUAGCAAUAGCCAAC